CUAAAGACCAUAAUUCAUUCCAUAAUCAAAAUUCAAAAGGAAGAAAUUCACGUGUCAAGUCGGGCGUUGACUCGAAGGAAUCGAAGUGAUAGAUUCUCUAACUUUUUGCUUAAAACUGCAACAUAUUUGCAUUCAGACAAACCUGUAGGAAAUAAUUUGAGCGAUUAAAGUGACGGAAGUCACUUAAUUAACUUGAUUGGUCUCUAAAUGUAAUUCUCAGAAACAAGCUUCAUGGCAAAAAGGCACACUGAUUUGGCCUUGGUCAAAUCAUCUGAUUACAUGGCUUGUUGGCUUGACUGACUGCCGUCCAUUUUACCACAUUUCUAUGUGUACCAGCUGUAUGUCUCAUCUGAUGCUGAAAUAGGCCUACUUUACAGAAGAAGUUUCACAGCCAGUUGAAGUCUCUGCAGUGCUAUCUAACAUGCUCAUGGAUAUGUUGCAUCUUCACCUUCAUUGAAGUCCAAUGUGGACAUGGCUUUGUUGCACCCAGCUGGUGAAAGGUGUUCUUGCUGGCUUGCUACCCGUACCAGCUAUAGCUUUUGCCACAUACAGAAACACUAAAGAACAAUUUUAAAUAGCUAAGCUGAUAAAAUUUUUACAUUAGAAUUAACAGUCAUUUGAAUUCUUGGCUUAACCUAUUUCUUCACUGCAUUCUAAUGUGGAUUUGUUAAGCCAGCUAGUUAAUUUUACAUCAUACAAUGUUCUUAAAGGCACCUUUUUAAAAGUGUAACUUCAGCCAUCCAAACUAGCAUUUGUAUCCAAUUGUUUAGGCUGCACGGAAUUCUCAUUUCCCUUUUACGUGAACUUCAAUAAUAUGCACUAAUUGAAGGUUUACGUUCCCAGAGUUGCUGCCUAAUGUGGCGUGUUGUUCCAGCCUAUGCCGAUGAAAGAUAUUUUUUCUUCAAGUUGAAAUGUGGCUGUUCCUUGGUGCUGGCGUCGUGUAGCGGAAGUUGCAUCCUGUAUUUUGUUCAAUGGUACAAGUGUCUUUAUCGUUUAUAUGUUGAGAAGUUAUAGAAUAUGGGGAGUUCUUACGUAAAAUAAAUAAUAAAUAUUUUCGGGAUUGGAAAACACCGAGGAGGAAGAUGGUGGGGGUGGGAUGUGUUGAUUUGACUUAAAUUGAAAUGCUAAUUAAUAGUGACGUGAAAGUCAGUGUUGACACUCUUAUUAACCCAUAACCCAACAUAAAUUCAGAUAUCUAUAGAUCUAGAUUAUCUCUAUACCCGCUAUUACCCAUCCCUCUCACUCCCCUAAUGCUCAUACUUCUAAUAUCCAAACUCCUAAUACCCAUACUUUUUAAUGUCAUACCUAAUUAAUGUAUACAUAUAACAUAAAAUAAACAAAAAGAUAAUGAAAAUAA